AACGAACGCUGGCGGCAGGCUUAACACAUGCAAGUCGAACGCAUCGCAAGAUGAGUGGCAGACGGGUGAGUAACGCGUGGGAACAUACCCUUUUCUACGGAAUAGCUCUGGGAAACUGGAAUUAAUACCGUAUACGCCCUACGGGGGAAAGAUUUAUCGGGGAAGGAUUGGCCCGCGUUGGAUUAGCUAGUUGGUGGGGUAAAGGCCUACCAAGGCGACGAUCCAUAGCUGGUCUGAGAGGAUGAUCAGCCACAUUGGGACUGAGACACGGCCCAAACUCCUACGGGAGGCAGCAGUGGGGAAUAUUGGACAAUGGGCGCAAGCCUGAUCCAGCCAUGCCGCGUGAGUGAUGAAGACCUUAGGGUUGUAAAGCUCUUUCACCGAUGGAGAUAAUGACGGUAGUCGGAGAAGAAGCCCCGGCUAACUUCGUGCCAGCAGCCGCGGUAAAAC
rnacentral:rRNA from 1 species